GCCUGGGUGGCUCAGUUGGUUAAGCGUCUGACUUUGGCUCCGGUCAUGAUCUCGUGGUUCAUGGGUUCGAGCCCCAUACCGGGCC
rnacentral:tRNA from 1 species